GACGAACGCUGGCGGCGUGCUUAACACAUGCAAGUCGAACGGAAAGGCCCUGCUUUUGUGGGGUGCUCGAGUGGCGAACGGGUGAGUAACACGUGAGUAACCUGCCCUUGACUUUGGGAUAACUUCAGGAAACUGGGGCUAAUACCGGAUAGGAGCUCCUGCUGCAUGGUGGGGGUUGGAAAGUUUCGGCGGUUGGGGAUGGACUCGCGGCUUAUCAGCUUGUUGUUGGGGUAGUGGCUUACCAAGGCUUUGACGGGUAGCCGGCCUGAGCGGGUGACCGGCCACAUUGGGACUGAGAGACGGCCCAGACGCCUAUGGUAGGCAGCAGUGGGGAAUAUUGCACAAUGGGCUGAAGCCUGAUGCAGCAGCGCCGCGUGCGGGAUGACGUGCUUCGGGUUGUAAACCGCUGUCGCCUGUGACGAAGCGUGAGUGACGGUAAUUGGUAAAGAAGCACCGGCUAACUACGUG
rnacentral:rRNA from 1 species